rnacentral:rRNA from 1 species
UACGUAGGCAGCAAGCGUUGUUCGGAGUUACUGGGCGUAAAGAGUGUGUAGGCGGUCGUCCAAGUUUGGUGUGAAAUCUCCCGGCUUAACUGGGAGGGUGCGCCGAAAACUGGAUAACUGGAGUAUGGGAGAGGAAGGCGGAAUUCCUGGUGUAGCGGUGAAAUGCGUAGAUAUCAGGAGGAACACCUGCGGUGUAGACGGCUUUCUGGACCAUGACUGACGCUGAGACACGAAAGCGUGGGGAGCAAACAGG